UGAGGAAUUUUGGACAAUGGGGGAAACCCUGAUCCAGCGACGCCGCGUGGAGGACGAAGGUCUUCGGAUUGUAAACUCCUUUUGCAGGGGACGAAUGAGCUCCGGUUUUAAGCCGGGGAAGUGACGGUACCCUGUGAAUAAGCCACGGCUAACUUCGUGCCAGCAGCCGCGGUAAGACGAAGGUGGCUAGCGUUACUCGGAAUUACUAGGCGUAAAGGGCAGGUAGGCGGUUCGGUAAGUCUAUUGUGAAAUCUUCCGGCUUAACUGGAAGGGGUCAAUAGAUACUGCCGGGCUUGAGUGUGUGAGAGGGUGCUGGAAUUCCCGGUGUAGCGGUGAAAUGCGUAGAGAUCGGGAGGAACACCUAUGGCGAAAGCAGGCACCUGGCACAUUACUGACGCUGAGCUGCGAAAGCUAGGGGAGCAAACAGG
rnacentral:rRNA from 1 species